GGCGUGCUUAACACAUGCAAGUCGAACGAUGAAGCAGGGCUUGCCCUGUGGAUUAGUAGCGAACGGGUGAGUAACACGUGGGCAACCUGCCCCUGACACUGGGAUAACUCCGGGAAACCGGGGCUAAUACCGGAUACGAACCUCGACGGCAUCGUCGAGGUUGGAAAGUUCUUCGGUCAGGGAUGGGCCCGCGGCCUAUCAGCUUGUUGGUGGGGUAAUGGCCUACCAAGGCGACGACGGGUAGCCGGCCUGAGAGGGCGACCGGCCACACUGGGACUGAGACACGGCCCAGACUCCUACGGGAGGCAGCAGUGGGGAAUAUUGCGCAAUGGGCGAAAGCCUGACGCAGCGACGCCGCGUGAGGGACGACGGCCUUCGGGUUGUAAACCUCUUUCAGCAGGGACGAAGCGAAAGUGACGGUACCUGCAGAAGAAGCACCGGCCAACUACGUGCCAGCCGCCGCGGUAAAAC
rnacentral:rRNA from 1 species